rnacentral:rRNA from 1 species
AUAAGGCAUCUUAUUGCUAUUAAAGAAUUUCGGUGUUUGAUGGGGAUGCGUUCCAUUAGAUUGUUGGUGAGGUAACGGCUCACCAAGUCUUCGAUGGAUAGGGGUUCUGAGAGGAAGGUCCCCCACAUUGGAACUGAGACACGGUCCAAACUCCUACGGGAGGCAGCAGUGAGGAAUAUUGGUCAAUGGACGAGAGUCUGAACCAGCCAAGUAGCGUGAAGGAUGAAGGCCCUAUGGGUCGUAAACUUCUUUUAUAGGGGAAUAAAGUGCGGAACGUGUUCCGUUUUGUAUGUACCCUACGAAUAAGGAUCGGCUAACUCCGUGCCAGCAGCCGCGGUAAUACGGAGGAUCCGAGCGUUAUCCGGAUUUAUUGGGUUUAAAGGGAGCGUAGGUGGACGUAUAAGUCAGUUGUGAAAGUUUGCGGCUCAACCGUAAAAUUGCAGUUGAUACUGUAUGUCUUGAGUGUACAAGAGGUGGGCGGAAUUCGUGGUGUAGCGGUGAAAUGCUUAGAUAUCACGAAGAACUCCGAUUG